rnacentral:tRNA from 1 species
UCCUCGUUAGUAUAGUGGACAGUAUCUCUGCUUGUCACGCAGAAGACCAGGGUUCGAUUCCCUGAAGGGGAG